AGGACAAACGCUGGCGGCGUGCCUAAAACAUGCAAGUCGAACGGACCUUUCGGGGUCAGUGGCGGACGGCUGAGUAACGCGUGGGUAACCUACCCGUGAGUGGGGAAUAACCCUCCGAAAGGAGGGCUAAUACCGCAUACGACCAUUGGUUUGCGGACUGGUGGGGAAAGUCGCAAGACGCUCGUGGAGGGGCCCGCGUCCGAUUAGCUAGUUGGUGAGGUAACGGCUCACCAAGGCGUCGAUCGGUAGCUGGUCUGAGAGGAUGAUCAGCCAGACUGGGACUGUGACACGGCCCAGACUCCUACGGGAGGCAGCAGUUAGGAAUCUUGGGCAAUGGGCGAAAGCCUGACCCAGCAACGCCGCGUGGGUGACGAAGGCCUUCGGGUCGUAAAGCCCUUUUCCACGGGAAGAUAAUGACGGUACCGUGGGAAUAAGCCCGGCUAACUACGUGCCAGCAGCCGC
rnacentral:rRNA from 1 species